rnacentral:lncRNA from 1 species
AAUUUCUUUGCUACUUUUUCACUAUGUUUCAUUCAUGUGAGAGGCAAGAGAAGGUGCCCAGUCCAUGUGUCCCACUUGUCUGGAAGAACGUUUGGAGUCUGGCAGUCUGGUUGUUUUCGUAGCUCCAGAGGAUUUUUAGGAGCAUGGGGAGCAUGGGAUGCAUCAACCUGUGGACCACAAAACCCUCUGGAGAAUGUUGGCUGUGGAUAAAAGCAUCUGGAAGUUUCUACCAUCUUUUUACCCUGUUUUUUCCCGGGUUACCCUGUGUCAUUUGUGGCCCUGUCCUGAGGAUUAUGGCAAACAGUCACUUACUGGAAUUCCUCCUCAUGUAUCUUCUUGAAAUGGAGCCACUGCUUUACCCAGCUGGAAGAUAUUUUCUCCCAGAGCUCUUCCAGUGCAGCAGCAGCACUCCUGUCCAGCAGGAUGAUUGGUGUGCCCUGUCCUUGUUGUCAACUGCUUUGCCAGGAAGAUUAAUGGCAGACGAGAAAAUGUGAGGAUGCUGCUGCGUCACUUGCAUUCUUCACCCCAGCCCAGCAGUAACUCUUUCCAGACUACCAGCAGCAGUCCAGGCACUUACAUCCUGCUCCAUUCCCUCUCCAAGAGCUUUGUGUAUAGGGCAAGUGCGUCCAUCCCCUUUCCUUCAGCAGAGGAGCUGCUGCCAGCUCAAACAGAGGUUCCUAUCUUUCUGAAACAUGAAAAACACUCAUUUCUCUCUCACACCUUUUCAAAACUGGAGCAGAAAGAGAAUAGCAGUUACUGCCAUAUGAGAGAGUGAGAAUGGGAAGCUCUGGAUAAGCAUUUGUAAAAUAUCCAGGGGAAAUAGAUGCUGGCAAAGACUCUGCUGAGUGGGAGUGGGUGUACCAAAAUGUAUGUGUCAGGAUGAGAAAUGUAUUUCUAGGGAAGGACAUGGAGAACUGGCUGCUUCCCAGGACACAGCUCCUCCUGGGGCUCUUCCUGUGGGAGAUCUCUGCAUUUUUUUUUUUAACACAUGGACUAUCUCCCCAGCCCACUCUUCUGAGUAGAAACUAAUCUCUGUAUUGAGAGAAAGUUGUUUCUUAUUAACUCUCUGAAUGGGGAAAAAAUAACCUCAACUCCCUGUAGUGGGAAUUGCACAAGUCAAAAUUUUGCAUUCCCUUCUCCAGACUCCAAAGUCGUUCCUGGAAGGAUGAGUUGUGGGUCAGAGAGGGGCUGUGCCCUCCUGCCAUACCUGCUGUGAGCUGCCAGGUCUGGCUAUCAGUCUGAAUGCAUGAUGAGAGCAGAGUAAAAAGAGUAAAACUGCAGUCAUGGCCUGAGCAGGGAUACCCAAAAUUAACAUCAAAAGGAAAGGAGGGAGUUGUCCAAAUACAGCCUGCAAACCUUUAAUUCUGUGUGACAGUGGUACCCCGAGCCAGGUAAUCUCCAGGAUCAGUGUUGCUGCAGUAAUGGAAGCAGCUGAUGUGGGAAGAUGAAGGUUUGAUGGAAGGUAUAAUAAUCUAUCUUAGAUGUUUUAAUUUUC